rnacentral:rRNA from 1 species
CAGUCGAGCGAUGAAACUUUGACAGAUCCCUUCGGGGUGAAGAUAAAGUGGAUUAGCGGCGGACGGGUGAGUAACACGUGAGUAACCUGCCUCGGACAUUGGGAUAGCCUCGGGAAACCGGGAUUAAUACCAAAUGAAAUCAAAAGUGCACAUGCACCAAUGAUCAAAACUCCGGUGGUCUGAGAUGGACUCACGUCCCAUUAGCUAGUUGGUAGGGUAACGGCCUACCAAGGCGACGAUGGGUAGCCGGCCUGAGAGGGUGAACGGCCACAUUGGAACUGAGAAACGGUCCAAACUCCUACGGGAGGCAGCAGUGGGGAAUAUUGCACAAUGGAGGGAACUCUGAUGCAGCGACGCCGCGUGAACGAAGAAGGCUUUCGAGUCGUAAAGUUCUUUUAUAUGGGAAGAUAAUGACGGUACCAUAAGAAAAAGCCCCGGCUAACUACGUGCCAGCAGCCGCGGUAAUACGUAGGGGGCUAGCGUUGUCCGGAAUCACUGGGCGUAAAGGGUUCGCAGGCGGAAAUGCAAGUCAGAUGUAAAAGGCAGUAGCUUAACUACUGUAAGCAUUUGAAACUGCAUAUCUUGAGAAGAGUAGAGGUAAGUGGAAUUUUUAGUGUAGCGGUGAAAUGCGUAGAUACUAAAAAGAAUACCGGUGGCGAAGGCGACUUACUGGGCUCAUUCUGACGCUGAGGAACGAAAGCGUGGGUAGCAAACAGGAUUAGAUACCCUGGUAGUCCACGCUGUAAACGAUGAGUGCUAGGUAUCGGAAGAAUUCGGUGCCGCAGUUAACACAUUAAGCACU